GAAAGGCUACUUUCAGGAUCAUUUCUGUAGUCUGUUACUCGAGAAGUUUCUCUGAGCAUGUGGAGCACCAGAAAUGGGGAGCUGCUGUUCACCUGA
ensembl:snoRNA U3 Small nucleolar RNA U3